GCUUGCUCCAUGAUUCAGCGGCGGACGGGUGAGUAAUGCCUAGGAAUCUGCCUGGUAGUGGGGGACAACGUUUCGAAAGGAACGCUAAUACCGCAUACGUCCUACGGGAGAAAGUGGGGGAUCUUCGGACCUCACGCUAUCAGAUGAGCCUAGGUCGGAUUAGCUAGUUGGUGAGGUAAAGGCUCACCAAGGCGACGAUCCGUAACUGGUCUGAGAGGAUGAUCAGUCACACUGGAACUGAGACACGGUCCAGACUCCUACGGGAGGCAGCAGUGGGGAAUAUUGGACAAUGGGCGAAAGCCUGAUCCAGCCAUGCCGCGUGUGUGAAGAAGGUCUUCGGAUUGUAAAGCACUUUAAGUUGGGAGGAAGGGCAGUAAGUUAAUACCUUGCUGUUUUGACGUUACCGACAGAAUAAGCACCGGCUAACUUCGUGCCAGCAGCCGCGGUAAUACGAAGGGUGCAAGCGUUAAUCGGAAUUACUGGGCGUAAAGCGCGCGUAGGUGGUUCGUUAAGUUGGAUGUGAAAGCCCCGGGGCUCAACCUGGGAACUGCAUCCAAAACUGGCGAGCUA
rnacentral:rRNA from 2 species